UCCCCGAUAGCUCAGUUGGUAGAGGCACCUCGACUGUUAAUCGAGUUGUCACAGGUUCGGCCCUGUUCGGGGAGCCA
rnacentral:tRNA from 1 species